CGUUAUUUUUUAACAGACAUUCAGAGACACACGACUUCUAAUAUGUUUUCCAACUUUUUAAGUUUCACAAGUUUGAGGGAUUUAUAAAAUAAUAAGGAACAGUAGGUUCGUAAAAUGUAUGAAACUUUCGGAUUGGCUCGCGCAAAACAAUCGGAAUUCGAAUUUGGCAAACCAAACGGAUAAGUAAAACAAGCAGUGAGUGUGAAAAACGUUUAAGUGACCAAUGCCAGGCAGAGUGAUGCCACCGACAGGGAGGGGAAUGGACAACAAAGGCCCAAAACAAAAAUUGUCACAAGAGGUUGAACAAACAUCUGCAUAUUGUGACAAUUCUCCAGCAAAAAAGAAAAAAGCACACAGUAGUAAACCACCAGCGUCAUACUCUUCAGAUUUGUUUGAGGCUGAACUUGCAGGUGCAAAUAGAGAGGUCAACAUGCUAUUUUCCAAAUACUCUGAAGUGUUGAGUGAGAGGGCUGCAAUAGAUGCCUCACAAGUUAGGGAGUUGGAAGACAUAUUGAUGGAGGCCAGAAACUUGGAGUCACACCUGAAAGAGAAGAAAGAACACUUGAGGCGUACCUUGGCUCUUAUUUCUGACAAACUACAGGGAUAGACUAGCUACACAGGCCUGCAUGCUACAGACAUUUGUAAAUAUUUCCUCACAGAUCUCAAUCAGUAACAUGUCAGUACUUUUAUUUUUACCUGUAUGUAUGCUUUUUAUGUUGACUGUCUUCACUCUUAAUCCCACACUGGCAAACAAAAUGUGAGUGCCAUUGUGGUUAAUAUCUUUAUAUAUGAGCUAUUUAUUUGUAGCCUACUGUAAACAAUAAAUAGGGUUAAAAGGU